GGAGGAAAAGAAACCAACCGGGAUUGCCUCAGUAACGGCGAGUGAAGCGGCAUCAGCUCAAAUUUGAAAUCUGGCUCCUCUGGGGCCCGAGUUGUAAUUUGCAGAGGGCGCUUUGGCGUUGGCAGCGGUCUAAGUUCCUUGGAACAGGACGUCACAGAGGGUGAGAAUCCCGUACGUGGUCGCUAGCGUUCGCCGUGUAAAGCCCCUUCGACGAGUCGAGUUGUUUGGGAAUGCAGCUCUAAAUGGGAGGUAAAUUUCUUCUAAAGCUAAAUACUGGCCAGAGACCGAUAGCGCACAAGUAGAGUGAUCGAAAGAUGAAAAGCACUUUGGAAAGAGAGUCAAACAGCACGUGAAAUUGUUGAAAGGGAAGCGCUUGCAGCCAGACUUGCCUGUAGUUGCUCAUCCAGGCUUUUGCCCGGUGCACUCUUCUGCAGGCAGGCCAGCAUCAGUUUGGGCGGUUGGAUAAAGGCCUCUGUCACGUACCUCCCUUCGGGGAGGCCUUAUAGGGGAGGCGGCAUGCAACCAGCCUGGACUGAGGUCUGCGCAUCUGCUAGGAUGCUGGCGUAAUGGCUGUAAGCGGCCCGUCUUGAAACACGGACCAAGGAGUCUAACAUCUAUGCGAGUGUUUGGGUGUCAAGCCCGAGCGCGGAAUGAAAGUGAACGGAGGUGGGAUCCCUUGCGGGUGCACCAUCGACCGAUCCUGAUGUCUUCGGAAGGAUUUGAGUAAGAGCAUGGCUGUUGGGACCCGAAAGAUGGUGAACUAUGCUUGAAUAGGGUGAAGCCAGAGGAAACUCUGGUGGAGGCUCGCAGCGGUUCUGACGUGCAAAUCGAUCGUCAAAUUUGGGCAUAGGGGCGAAAGACUAAUCGAACUAUCUAGU
rnacentral:rRNA from 1 species